GGAUAAAACGUUGACGUCCUGGCCCACAAAUGGUGCAUAAUAAAUUUCAUACGACGCUGCUAACAUGGACGCAAGAAGCAAAUCGACUGAGGAUAUCACUUACCUCGUUCAAAAUAUCACGGGAUCCGGACUGUUGCUGAGUCAUCAACAUCCAGCAUCGGACACCCGAACAGCAAGUUAUUCUAGUGCCAGUUAUUCCAGUAAAAGAAACAAUGAAGAGUAUGCUGGUCUAAAAGAUUACAGUGUUUGAAGCAGGCCUAUGUUUGAAUACAGUAGCAUGGAAUACUAGAAUAGGACUUUGGUUCUAUUUUGUUGGUCUACAGGACGAAAGUAAUGAGUUAUAGGGAUAGUUUGGAGGCAUUAUUAUUCAUUUUUAAAGGUGAAAUUCUUAGAUUUUUGAGGCCAAGGAUGUCUACUUUAAUCUCAAGAACAAAAGUUGGGGGAUCAAAGACGAUCAGAUACCGUCGUGAAUAUACAGCUAUGCCCCCUAUUUCAUGCAAGACGACGAAACCUCGACUUCUCUCUAGGAAAGUUCC
rnacentral:ncRNA from 1 species